AACGAACGCUGGCGGCAUGCCUAACACAUGCAAGUCGAACGAGACCUUCGGGUCUAGUGGCGCACGGGUGCGUAACGCGUGGGAACCUGCCCUUAGGUUCGGAAUAACUCCCCGAAAGGGGUGCUAAUACCGGAUAAUGUCUUCGGACCAAAGAUUUAUCGCCUUUGGAUGGGCCCGCGUUGGAUUAGGUAGUUGGUAGGGUAAAAGCCUACCAAGGCGACGAUCCAUAGCUGGUCUGAGAGGAUGAUCAGCCACACUGGGACUGAGACACGGCCCAGACUCCUACGCGAGGCAGCAGUGGUGAAUAUUGGACAAUGGGCGAAAGCCUGAUCCAGCAAUGCCGCGUGAGUGAUGAAGGCCUUAGGGUUGUAAAGCUCUUUUACCCGGGAUGAUAAUGACGGUACCGUGAGAAUAAGCUCCGGCUAACUCCGUG
rnacentral:rRNA from 1 species